rnacentral:rRNA from 1 species
ACGGCUCAGUUAACACNUGGNCAAACUACCCUACAGACCGCAAUAACCUCGGGAAACUGAGGCCAAUAGCGGAUAUAACUCUCAUGCUGGAGUGCAGAGAGUUAGAAACGUUCCGGCGCUGUAGGAUGUGGCUGCGGCCGAUUAGGUAGAUGGUGGGGUAACGGCCCACCAUGCCGAUAAUCGGUACAGGUUGUGAGAGCAAGAGCCUGGAGACGGUAUCUGAGACAAGAUACCGGGCCCUACGGGGCGCAGCAGGCGCGAAACCUUUACACUGCACGACAGUGCGAUAGGGGGACUCCGAGUGUGAGGGCAUAUAGCCCUCGCUUUUCUGUACCGUAAGGUGGUACAGGAACAAGGACUGGGCAAGACCGGUGCCAGCCGCCGCGGUAAUACCGGCAGUCCGAGUGAUGGCCGAUAUUAUUGGGCCUAAAGCGUCCGUAGCUUGCUGUGUAAGUCCAUUGGGAAAUCGACCAGCUCAACUGGUCGGCGUCCGGUGGAAACUACACAGCUUGGGGCCGAGAGACUCAACGGGUACGUCCGGGGUAGGAGUGAAAUCCUGUAAUCCUGGCGGACCACCAAUGGGGAAACCACGUUGAGAGACCGGACCCGACAGUGAGGGACGAAAGCCAGGGUCUCGAACCGGAUUAGAUACCCGGGUAGUCCUGGCUGUAAACAAUGCUCGCUAGGUAUGUCACGCGCCAUGAGCACGUGAUGUGCCGUAGUGAAGACGAUAAGCGAGCCGCCUGGNAAGUACGUCCGCCAAGGAUGAAACUUAAAGGAAUUGGCGGGGGAGCAUCCNCAACCGGAGGAGCCUGCGGUUUAAUUGGAGCUCAACCCCCGGAA